rnacentral:rRNA from 1 species
GGUGAGUAAACACGUGGGGUAACCUGCCCAGAAGUAGGGGAUAACCACCUGGAAACAGAUGCUAAUACCGUAUAACAGAGAAAACCGCAUGGUUUUCUUUUAAAAGAUGGCUCUGCUAUCACUUCUGGAUGGACCCGCGGCGUAUUAGCUAGUUGGUGAGGUAAAGGCUCACCAAGGCAGUGAUACGUAGCCGACCUGAGAGGGUAAUCGGCCACAUUGGGACUGAGACACGGCCCAGACUCCUACGGGAGGCAGCAGUAGGGAAUCUUCCACAAUGGACGCAAGUCUGAUGGAGCAACGCCGCGUGAGUGAAGAAGGGUUUCGGCUCGUAAAGCUCUGUUGUUAAAGAAGAACGUGGGUAAGAGUAACUGUUUACCCAGUGACGGUAUUUAACCAGAAAGCCACGGCUAACUACGUGCCAGCAACCGCGGUAAUACGUAGGGGGCAAGCGUUAUCCGGAUUUAUUGGGCGUAAAGCGAGCGCAGGCGGUCUUUUAAGUCUAAUGUGAAAGCCUUCGGCUCAACCGAAGAAGUGCAUUGGAAACUGGGAGACUUGAGUGCAGAAGAGGACAGUGGAACUCCAUGUGUAGCGGUGAAAUGCGUAGAUAUAUGGAAGAACACCAGUGGCGAAGGCGGCUGUCUGGUCUGCAACUGACGCUGAGGCUCGAAAGCAUGGGUAGCGAACAGGAUUAGAUACCCUGGUAGUCCAUGCCGUAAACGAUGAUUACUAAGUGUUGGAGGGUUUCCGCCCUUCAGUGCUGCAGCUAACGCAUUAAGUAAUCCGCCUGGGGAGUACGACCGCAAGGUUGAAACUCAAAAGAAUUGACGGGGGCCCGCACAAGCGGUGGAGCAUGUGGUUUAAUUCGAAGCUACGCGAAGAACCUUACCAGGUCUUGGACAUCUUCUGACAGUCUAAGAGAUUAGAGGUUCCCUUCGGGGACAGAAUGACAGGUGGUGCAUGGUGUCGUCAGAUCGUGUCGUGAGAUGUUGGGUUAAGUCCCGCAAACGAGCGCAACCCUUAUUACUAGUUGCCAGCAUUAAGUUGGGCACUCUAGUGAAUACUGCCGGUGACAAACCGGAGGAAGGUGGGGAACGACGUCAAAUCAUCAUGCCCCUUAUGACCUGGGCUACACACGUGCUACAAUGGAUGGUACAACGAGUCGCGAGACCGCGAGGUUAAGCUAAUCUCUUAAAACCAUUCUCAGUUCGGACUGUAGGCUGCAACUCGCCUACACGAAGUCGGAAUCGCUAGUAAUCGCGGAUCAGCAUGCCGCGGUGAAUACGUUCCCGGGCCUUGUUACACACCGCCCGUCACACCAUGAGAGUUUGUAACACCCAAAAGCCCGGUGGGGGUAACCUUUUUUAGGGAGCUA